GACAGGAGGGGGCAAGCGUUGCUCGGAAUUACUGGGCGUAAAGGGCGCGUAGGCGGGAUGGCAAGUCGGUCGUGAAAGCCUUCGGCUCAACCGAAGAACGUCGGCCGAUACUGCCGUUCUUGAGGGAUGCAGAGGAGACUGGAAUUCCCGGUGUAGCGGUGAAAUGUGUAGAGAGUCGGGGAGGAACGACCGGUGGCGAAGGCGGGUCUCUGGGCAUCUCCUGACGCGUGAGG
rnacentral:rRNA from 1 species